AGAAGGACGUUGUUAUCCAUUACUGAGGCUGACAACCAGUUAUGUAGUGUUUUGGCGUAUUGAAAUCUACAAGAGACGUGAUUGUGCUAACAGUGCGCCCUGGGGAUGAUGCCACCCACCCUCUCGUGAAAAAGCCGACCAGACCAGACCAACGAGCAUACUCUUUGCUGCCCCUGCUUCUCCCAGACUGCCUACCAACCCCUCACUAGUCCAGCAUCGGGGAAACCCAACGCAUCAAGAGAGAGAACAGUGUCUGGAUACAUAGACGAAUGAAGAUCACCUCUCUCUCAGCUCUCAUGGCUCCAUUUCUGCUCCUGUUGUUCCUUCUGUCUGGAGCAGCUUCUGACCUGAUUGAGGUAACAGUGGACCCUGGAGAUGAUGUUAUUCUACCAUGUCGGGCUGCUGGUUCCUUCAUCAUAGCUGUAGAGUGGACCAGACCUGACCUGAAGCACCCAGAUCAAACCAGGCGGGGUCAUCUUGACCCCAGAGGACAACAGGUGUAAGACAUCCAGGAGGACAUUAGGAGAGUUAAGGACAGGGUGGAGCUGGUGGACCGAG